rnacentral:rRNA from 1 species
AGAGUUUNNUCCUGGCUCAGAACGAACGCUGGCGGCAUGCCUAACACAUGCAAGUCGAACGAGUACCUUCGGGAUCAUAGUGGCGCACGGGUGCNGUAACGCGUGGGAAUCUGCCCAGAGGUUCGGAAUAACACAGAGAAAUUUGUGCUAAUACCGGAUGAUGUCGCAAGACCAAAGAUUUAUCGCCUUUGGAGGAGCCCGCGUAGGAUUAGCUAGUUGGUGGGGUAAAGGCCUACCAAGGCGACGAUCCUUAGCUGGUCUGAGAGGAUGAUCAGCCACACUGGGACUGAGACACGGCCCAGACUCCUACGGGAGGCAGCAGUGGGGAAUAUUGGACAAUGGGCGAAAGCCUGAUCCAGCAAUGCCGCGUGAGUGAAGAAGGCCUUCGGGUUGUAAAGCUCUUUUACCCGGGAAGAUAAUGACUGUACCGGGAGAAUAAGCCCCGGCUAACUCCGUGCCAGCAGCCNNGGUAAUAC